GGUGUGCAAAUUUAGUGCAAUGAAUAUGAAAUUUGGCAAAAAUAACUAAAAGGCUGAUAAUAUAGCUUUUUUUCUGGAUUUAUUUUAUCACUUUGUGAAAGGCCAAAUAAAAUAUGUUGGGCUUCAGGCCUCUGUAGGCAUCUCCGCUGAAAUCUGGCUCCAUCAUGUCACUGAUGCAAAGUCAGAAAUGUCCAUUUCUUCUAAACUGGCCCUUUUCAGAUCCAUUUAUUUUAUUGAAUUUUUCUGCUGAAUUUCUUUAGUUCUACUCCAUAAAUGUCAUUGUCUGCUCUGUAUCCAAUGGUUCAAUAAAUCUAUCAUUAAGGAACAUGACAUGCAUUUCAGAAAUAUAUAAGCAAUAUUUAGCUUUUCUUCUUAUAGACCAGUAUUGAAAGAGACAUUCAGGGUCUCAGGAUAAUCACCGCUUAUCAAUUAAUUGUUAAUCGAUCAAUAAGGUCAACCAGCUAAUGAUUACUGGAUUAAUCGGUCAUUUGCGUCCCUGUUCCAGACAGCAGAUAAUGAUCAGAGUGUUAGUGUGGCGCUAAACGGGCUCAGUGCUGCAGAUGACGUGUACAAAAAGAGUCGAACAUGGUCAAAAACAAGCAUCAUCCGGCGCCGUUUCUCCUCUGGCUCCUCGUUCCCCAUCAGCUUCAGCUUCAGUCAGCAGCUGCAGAUGGGAGGUCAGAGGUCACAUGGUGUUACUGUGUUGACAGCAUGAAGAAGGUGCCAGACAUUCCUCUGACUGAUAACAUGCAGGAUGCCACAUCAGGGCCCGAAACCUUGACUUUCCUUCACUCACUUUGGUCAUUUAAUAACAGAAUCAAACUGCCUUUGGUUUAUUAGCUCACUGUGAUUAUUUAGCAAAAA